rnacentral:rRNA from 1 species
UACGAAGGGUGCAAGCAUUAAUCGGAUUUAUUGGGCGUAAAGGGCGCGUAGGCGGGACUGAAAGUCAGAUGUGAAAUCCCGGGGCUCAACCUCGGAACAGCAUAUGAGACUCCCAUUCUAGAGGGUAGGCGGAGAAAACGGAAUUCCACAAGUAGCGGUGAAAUGCGUAGAUAUGUGGAAGAAUACCGGUGGCGAAGGCGGUUUUCUAGCUUAAACCUGACGCUGAGGCGCGAAAGCAAGGGGAUCAAACAGG